GACGAACGCUGGCGGCGUGCCUAAUACAUGCAAGUCGAACGAACCGCGACUGAGUGCUUGCGCUUGGUCAAGGUGAGUGGCGAACGGGGGAGUAACACUUGGGUAACCUACCUCAUAGGGGUGCUUAACAGGCGGAAACGACUGCUACUACCGCAUAGUAGAUAGGAGCACAUGAUCCAUUGAGGAAGGGUGUCGCUAGCGAUCGCUACGAGAUGGACCCGCGGUGCAUGAUCUAGUUGGUAGGGGAAAGGCCUACCAAGGCGAGGAUGCAUAGCCGAUAUCAGAGGGAGAUUGGACACAUUGGGAGUGAGAAAGGGCACACACACCUGCGGGAGGACGCAGUAGAGAAUCUUCCGCAAUGGAGGAGAGUCUGAUGGAGCAACGCCGCGUGAGUGAAGAAGGUCCUAGGCUCGUAAAGUUAUGUAGUUAGAGAAGAACAGCGCCUAGAGUAACUGCGAUGAGUGUGACGGUAUCUAAAGAGAAAGCCACGGCUAACUACGUG
rnacentral:rRNA from 1 species